UAGUAAAUUUCAAUAAGUUUUUGAAAUUGAAAAUUAGAAAUCUACUUCUAAAACUUAAAAAAUUUAAAUUCUAUAGUAAAAAGUACCGCGAGGGAAAGGUGAAAAGAUUUUUAAUAUCUUAAAAGAACCUAAAAUUUAAUGCUAAAUACAGUUAAGGCUUUAUGUUUUAACGUACCUUUUGCAUAAUGGGCUAGCGAGUUUAUAUAAUUAGCGAGUAAUUUAUAAUAAAAUAAUAUUACGAAUCGAUAGAAAAUUAGUUAAUUAUAUAAGACCCGAAGCUAAGUGAUCUAAUUAUGGUUAGAUUAAGGGUAUUUAUACCUAAGGAUCGAACUCUUAAAUGUUGCAAAAUUUUGGGAUAAACUGUAAUUAGGGGUGAAAGGCUUAUCAAACUUAGUUAUAGCUGGUUUUCCACGAAACCUAUUUAAGUAGGGUGAUAUUUUAUUAUAAAAUUAGGUUUAAAUAACUAUAUCUAUAAUUAAUAUGUUAAUUAUAAAAUUAGUAUAUAAUAAUUAGUUUUAUUUAGAUAUUAAUCAGACUAUUAGCGCUAAGGUUUAUAGUCAAGAGAGAAACAGCUCAGAUUAAACAAUAAGGUCUACAAAAGUAAAUAAUUUUGGAGAUUGUUUUUAUUAUUAUCAAUAAGAUGUAGGCUUGGAAGCAGCCAUCAUUUUAAAAAAGCGUAAAAGCUUAAUAUUGAGUGUAUUAUUGUUUUAAAAUAAUAAAUAUAAAAAUAAUCAUAAAUGAAAAUAGAUUAAUUUUUACUUACCGAAUUGAUAAAUCGAAAGAUGGUAGUGGAACAUUUUGUAUAAAUAAAUAAAAUUGUGAAAUUUUAUAUCUUAUCAAUAUAGAUAAUGCUAGCAUGAGUAGUAGACAUAAUGUGAGAAUCAUUAUCGCCUGAUGUACAAGGGUUGCUAAAUUUGAUAAUCUUAUUUAGUGUAAAUCGGUUUCUAAAAUUUAAAUGUAUAUUUUUAUUGAUGAAUACGAAAUAUAAAAUUCUUAAUAAUCUAUUAAAUAUAUUACAUAAAAUUUUUUGUAAUAUAUUUAUUUAAUGGAUUAGUUGCUGGAAAUGUUUAUAUUUUUUUUACCGUACUAACUCUAACACAAGUGUACAAGUAGAAUAUAUAAUGGCGAAGGAGUAAAAAGUAUUGAAGGAACUAGGCAAAUUGACUCUGUAACUUCGGGAGAAAGAGGGCUUUAAGCAACUAAAAAGAGAGAGUAGCGACUGUUUAAUAAAAACAUAAGAUUUUGCUAAAUUUAAAUACGAAGUAUAAAAUCUGACACCUGCCCGGUGCUGCAAGGUGAACAAAUUUUGGUAAACGCUAAAAUUUUAAACCCCAGUAAACGGCGGCCGUAACCCUGACGGUCCUAAGGUAGCAAAAUUCCUUGGCGGGUAAGUUCCGUCCUGCAUGAAUGGUGUAACGACUGCUCUGCUGUCUCCAAUACUAGCUCUACGAAAUUGAAUUUUCCGUGAAGAUGCGACAAUAUUACAACUAGACGGGAAGACCCUAUGCACCUUUACUGUUAUCUGUAAAUAAUUUUUUUUUAUAAUUAACUAGACAAGUAGGAAAUUUAUAUUAAAAAUGGAAAACUACUUAAUUAUAUUUAAAAAUUAAAAAUAAAUUAAUCAUAUUAUCAAUUAAUUAUUUUGUUAUAGAAAGACAGUUUGACUGGGGCGGUCUCCUCCUAAAAAGUAACGGAGGAGUAUAAAAACUCGGGGUAUCUUAUUUUAAUUAAGAUCAAUAUUAAAAUGAAUUUUACUGAGUUUGAUUAGAGUACUUACAAGUAUUCUAAGGAUACAUGUCUAUCAUAUUGACCCGAUAUAAUUUUGUAGAAAAUAUAUCGAUCAACGAAUAAAAGGUACGCUAGGGAUAACAGGCUUAUGAGUUUUGAGAGUUCUUAUUAAUAAACUCGUUUGGCACCUCGAUGUCGGCUCAUCACAUCCUGAUGGUGGACAAUCUAUCAAGGGUCCGGCUGUUCGCCGGUUAAAGUGGUACGUGAGCUGGGUUUAAAACGUCGUGAGACAGUUUGGUCCCUAUCUGUUGUAAUUAUAAGAAAAUAAAUAAGAAUUAACUUUAGUACGAGAGGACUAGGAAAAUUUAAUCACUGGUUUGAAAAUUAUUUUAAUAAAUAAAAGUAUGGUUUUUAAGCUACAUUAAACAAAAUAAUUGCUGAAUAUUAUAUAAGCAAGAAUUUAACUUAUAUUAUUUUCUAAUAAAUUUUUUAAAGACUAUAUUAUUUAAGUUUUUAUAUAAGUGUAGUUAUAACUAACGAAUAUAUAAAAAACUUAUAAUUUAAUAUUUACUACAGUUUAGUUUAUA
rnacentral:rRNA from 1 species